GCUUCGGUAGCUCAGACCGGUCAGAGCGCUUGCCUUGUAAGCAAGAUGUCGAGGGUUCAAAUCCCUCUCGAAGCU
rnacentral:tRNA from 3 species